rnacentral:tRNA from 1 species
GCCUACUUGGAGUAGUGGUUAACUCAUCGGCAUCCGACUCUAUAGUCAGAUAGCCGGGAACUCGGGUUCGAAUCCCGGAGUAGGUG